CGCAGAUGCAGAUUUCAAGAGAUUGGGGAAUUUCACCGUAUUUUGAUUCGCCAUGUUUGUGAUUUGACCUUUAGGAAGUUUCACGUGUGCGUGCAGCAGCAGAAACAUUGAGGUUAAUUCUCGUUUAUAUGAGCAGAGACAAUUUCCGUAAGAAAUGUCAUUGAUGCACAUCUCCAUCUUCAUUCUGUCAGUGGUUCUUCGAGAAUCCAGGGCUGAAUGCGAGCGAGAAGAGGAAUGCGAGUUCGAAAAACUUAAAAGGGAUAUUCUGAUAUUUUUUGGUGCUAUACUUGGAUUUGCCUUAGUGAUGGGACUUUGUACUUAUCUGGUCUACAAACUAUACAAAAUGAAAUACACAGACGAUGUCGUGAUCA